rnacentral:rRNA from 2 species
CUCCGGGAAACCGGGGCUAAUACCGGAUGGUUGUUUGAACCGCAUGGUUCAAACAUAAAAGGUGGCUUCGGCUACCACUUACAGAUGGACCCGCGGCGCAUUAGCUAGUUGGUGAGGUAACGGCUCACCAAGGCAACGAUGCGUAGCCGACCUGAGAGGGUGAUCGGCCACACUGGGACUGAGACACGGCCCAGACUCCUACGGGAGGCAGCAGUAGGGAAUCUUCCGCAAUGGACGAAAGUCUGACGGAGCAACGCCGCGUGAGUGAUGAAGGUUUUCGGAUCGUAAAGCUCUGUUGUUAGGGAAGAACAAGUACCGUUCGAAUAGGGCGGUACCUUGACGGUACCUAACCAGAAAGCCACGGCUAACUACGUGCCAGCAGCCGCGGUAAUACGUAGGUGGCAAGCGUUGUCCGGAAUUAUUGGGCGUAAAGGGCUCGCAGGCGGUUUCUUAAGUCUGAUGUGAAAGCCCCCGGCUCAACCGGGGAGGGUCAUUGGAAACUGGGGAACUUGAGUGCAGAAGAGGAGAGUGGAAUUCCACGUGUAGC